CGUCGUCGCUAUCGGUCCAGCUGCAGAAUAGAAAGUCGCCGGUAACCUUGGUACGCAAAUAAUCGAGUCACGUGACCGGAUUGCUCAGGAAGCACGAUGAACACGCGAGAGCUGCGUUGCGAGGAGCAAGAGGGUACCAAGCGAAAAUGGAAGAUGAGCGCGCGCACGGAAGAAGUUGGGUCUCACUCCGACGACGACAUUCGGAUUCGGUUUUGUGCUGUUUUAGAACUUCGCGCGUAGGCCAUUAACGUUGGGUACAAUUGAAGAUAAUUAUUCUUGGUAAUAACUGGUUUGUGACGAGCCAACUGUAACUUGAAGCUAGCACAAAAAUUUUUACAUCAUGUUGGAAUUAGAGAUGAAAGAGAAGAAUAUUCUCGAAAAUAUCUUGCAGUGGCUCCUUCUGUCGGUCCUGACAAAAUUCGGACGGUUCGGGAAUCCCACAGACUUGAAUGAACGUGUUUCGGUUUGUGCGUUGAUUAUUGUGUGAAAUAUAUCAUGGCAGAUGCGGGAAUAAUGGACGGUAAAAACAAAGUUGUAACAAAACCGAAGAGUAAUGUGUGGAACUAUUUUAAUAUGAUGAAAGUUUAUGGAAAAAUAAUGUACAUUUGUAAAUUUUGCCCUUUUAAAUAUAUAAAAAAUGUCACAAAAAUAACGAAACAUUUAUUAAGAUGUUUAAAAUGCCCAAUAGGCGUGAAACAAAUGUUUGACAAAGAGCAAAAGGAGAUUUCUUCUACUUUCUUUUCAAUUACUGCUCCUACUUCUUCAAUUGCAACCAGUCGUUGCAAUUGAUGUAGUGAUUUAGCUUUAUAUGCAUGUUUUAGUGGUGAGCACCAAACUAUGGUUCCGUGAGCUACCAUGGGUCUUAUCACAGAAGUGUAAAUCCACAUUGUAACUUUCGGAUUUAGUCCCCAAGUAUUCCCAAUAGCCCUUUGGCACUGGGUCAGUACAAUCGUUGCUUUUUUGGUUUUGCAACUAAUGUGUGAUGCCCAAGUUAGUCCUUUGUCCAAGAUAUACACUUCUGGAGCAAAGGAUUAACAGAGAGGGUAGUUCUUCACACCAUCGUUCAACAAGUUUAAGCGCCUGCUGCAUUCUGUAACAAAGAAAAUUGUCAGGUUAACCAACUGUGAAGCGAUAUUUAUUGUUUAACUCACGAAUGAGAUCAUCAAUUAUUAAGCACCAAAGAAACUGUAAGGGAAGUAAAAAAACUCUUUAGUCAAGAGGCAAUAAAUCCAAUCCAUCUUGCUGCAAAUAUUCUAGAUCCAAAUUUUAAUGGAAUUCAUCUUAAUAGAGAAGAUCAAAUACAAGGAACAGAGUUUAUAGACAAUAUAGCUACUGUAACAAGCCCAGGUGAGUCUGUUGAAAAACUGCAUCCCAUUGUAUGGUGAAGGGGACUUGUGUUGGGUCGACAUUAAGUAAAGUAGCGGUCAAGAUACCUACAGCUUCUCAAAAUAUAUCAGAAUAUUCUCAAAAUUGAGAAUAUUCUCCUAUUUUUUUUUUCUCGAGAAUUUUCCAUCUCUAGUUGGAAUAUCGUUGAAAUUAGUUGGAACAGUCUCUGAGUGAUUAUUAUUAUCUGUAUUAUUUUGAUGACUAAUAAAAAAAUAAUAUGUAAA
rnacentral:lncRNA from 1 species